rnacentral:rRNA from 1 species
UACGUAGGGGGCAAGCGUUUGUCCGGAAUCAUUGGGCGUAAAGAGCGUGUAGGCGGCCUGAUAAGUCGGUUGUGAAAGUCAAGGGCUCAACCCUUGAAUGCCGGCCGAUACUGUCAGGCUAGAGUCCGGAAGAGGCGAGUGGAAUUCCUGGUGUAGCGGUGAAAUGCGCAGAUAUCAGGAAGAACACCCGUGGCGAAGGCGGCUCACUGGCCCGAUACUGACGCUGAGGCACGAAAGCGUGGGGAGCAAACAGG